CAAAAUAGUGCCUGUUGCCCCAGAUAAUGAGAGUUGGAAUAAUCCAUCUCAGCUGAAAUGGCCAGCGAUGUGAAUUAGCUGCUGAGCAGAACGGACUGCAUGCUGGGGCCAGAGCAUGUGCGGUCACUUUCUCUACUUCCUGCUUUGAGAUGAUGUGCUUUUAUCAAAUGGAAGUGCUCUUGGACAACUAAGCCCCACGUCCUUUCCCAUCCCACAAAUAAUAUCUAUAUAAGGCACACUCCAGGACAAAAAAUUAGGGUGCACUGCAUAACGUGGAUUUAAUGAAGGGGCCAUUAGGAGUGUGGAGAAUUCCAGCACAACAUGGUACCUACACCAGGACAAUGAAGGUGCAAGUAUAAAGUGAUAUAUAGAGAUGGCCAGGUAUCAGAAGUGUGAAAUGCAGAGAUGGGCUAGAGGGAAGAAUAGAGCUAGGCUGG